GUGUAAAGGAAAGUGACUUCCGGAUUUCCCUCGCUGGCUAGAAGAGUCCUUGUCCUGCCCUUUUAAGGUGCGGAAAGUGUGGAACAGGCGGGAGGACCCGGCAUCCUGGGGGCGGGGCCGGUUUAGGCGUGGACAGUGCGGGCAAGGCCCUGUUGGGAGUUCUGAAUGUGACAUCCGUGGGACAACUGGACACAUGGGCUUGACUCGAAGGAAACAGGAGGCACCAGAGAUGUGGGGUUUGGGAUCAGCAGUCUGGAGAGAGACGUUAGGACCCUGGGAAGGGAUAGCUGCCUCUAGGGAGACUACAGAAAGAAGUUCAAGGGACAAAAGCCAGGUACCGCGGUUGAAGAGGCAGAAGGGGUACUGAGGCAGACAGGGUCUCACUAUGUGGUCCAGACUCAUGGUGAUCCUCCUGCCUCAGCCUCCCAAGUGCUGGGAUUACAGUUGCUCAUUGAGGCCAUGUAGCCUCAGAGAUUGGGGGCAUCCAGCCUGAAGAGGACCCCAGGAACAUCUGCUGACUGGAACUCCCAACACCUCAGAUCCUCAAUACCAGCUCACCUUGACUGCCUUUAGGGUCCAAGCCUUGAGGAAUCCCGGAGGGAACUUUCUUCCCACCUUUUCCAGAAAUCUGCUCGACACUUCAUCUCACAGCCACCACCCAACGGUUCUCCCUCAGCUCUGGCGCAAUUCCUGUCCCCCUCCUCCUGUGCCCCAGACUCUGAAGGGGGCAUAAGACGUGGCAGAGAGAGGGGUAGGCAGCCCCUCGGACUGGUCCAGAACAGGAGUUGCAGCCACUGGCUGUGAAGUGAGGAGAGGCGGAAGGAGGAGAAGCUGUUGGCCAGUGAAGAGUAAAACAGUCUCACAGGACCUGGGCGGCAGAUGGAAGCACAGUCGUCAGGAUGGGAGAGGAGGCAAGGAACGUGGACAAGGAACCCGAUAGCAGAAGGAGCUGAAAGAUGGGCCACAGAGGGAGUCACAGGGGAGCAGGAGAGAAGAGAGAUGGCGACCCAAGCCCUUGGCUGCUCCACAGUGCGAUUUGAGGGACAAAGGAGUCUGUAAUGGUGAAAGUGGGCCUGGGAGAGCGAG
rnacentral:lncRNA from 1 species